CGAGCGGCGUGUGUGAAGCCGGAAGGAGCCGGUAAAGGAUUUGGCGAUAGAGAUUUACGACAAAUUAACGGCAAGCAGCUGGGCGAGAGUGCAGGAAGAAAAGAGGGCAGACCGCCCUGACAGCGUGGGGAAGCGGAGCGUGUCGUACGCAUUAACAAUGGAAGAUGCGGGAGGCCGGCCCGCCACUACACGGACUCGAUGCCGGGGCGGACAGAGGAGCGCGUCGCAGCAGAGGUAUGUUUCCCUGCCGAUGAGUGUAGACCGGAGGACAAAGAGGAUGCACAGGAAAAGAAUAAGGCCAAGCAGCAGUUUGCUGGCACCGUUAUGUGCCAAGAGAAGCUGUGCAGAGCCGACACCAGCCAAAGGAUUAAUGAUCCCGGGGGAGGCUAAGGUAAGCUCACGGCUCCGGCCUGACAUCUUUGUACUUGUAAGAGCACACAAAUUAGCCGGGCGACGCGGCGAGUAAUGGCCGGGCAGCCCCGCGUCAGGCCCGUUUAACAAUGUGGGCGAGGAGGGAAGCGCGGGGAGCUGCUGGCUACUGUCACCUGAGGAUGUGCUCUCGGCAAACCUACAGCCACCGUGUCACCCCAUGUUAUUUAAACUGUGCUCCAAAAAUACAACCCAUCCGCUCGCUAAUGCGCUUCACAUCCUGCGCUGCACCCCACGUUUGCCAGAAAGAAAAAAACAGUCGCGCUUAUGAGCCCCCGAAUGCCAGCGUGGCCGGAUUAUUAAAAAGCUCAGGCAAAACGACGCUAUUACAAUUAUUCCAUCGAUCCAUGCCUUUUCCGUAAGUGCUUAUCCCCGGAAGCACAGGGCACGAAGCAGGGACACCGCGGAUGCCGUGCCUGAUACAGCACGUUACGGUUUAGUUUUUAUUUUUUUGUAAAAAAUACUUUUUUCCCAUAGCAUUGUGCUGACGACACUCAUGUACUGCUCAUUAUUUGACUUUCUCUGUAUGAGGUCAUUGUUCAUCCUCUCCAUCUGUCCAUCCAUGUAUCCACCCAUCCAUGUAUCCAGCCAUCCAUGUAUCCAUCCAUGCAUCCAUCCAACCAUGCCUCCAUUCAUCCAUCUUACAGCAAUUUAGUAUCUAGUACAGGG